rfam:Salmo salar isolate Sally breed double haploid chromosome ssa12, whole genome shotgun sequence.
UAUAGCAAUGUAGGUAAGGGGAGUUGGCAAAAAAAGAUCCCUAACUUCGGGAUAAGGAUUGGCUCUAAGAGCUGGGUCGGUCGGACUGGGGUGCGAAGCGGGGCUGGGCUCGAGCCGCUGCUGGGGGAGCAGUCGCUCCGUCGCCCUCCUCUCGCCACCAUUGGAAGUUAAUUGUGUGGCCCAUCUCACGGUCUUGCAAGGGGCUGCGUGCGAGGGUUUGUUGGGGUGGUGUCCAUCGGUGGGCCGAAGGCGGACCAGUGGGGGGUUGGGUCCGGCAGUUGGCGGCGGAAACUCUGGACGCACGCCGGGCCCUUCUCGCGGAUCUCCUCAGCUACAGCGCUCGCCGGCCCCACACAUUGUAGGUGGGGAGGUCUCCUCUACACUCACUAGACUUGAGGCAGAGACUUAACCUAUUGGCCCCGCAGUGAUAGGGCAUUGCAUGGAUCUGGUUCAUGCCCUACAAAGUGGGGAGAGAUAUCUCCAGCUUGUCUGGGUAGGGAGGCCUACAUCUGAUGUGGGUAGUACCAUCCACGCCCAUUGAUUUGCCGCGGAACCAUAAAACGGACGGAAGAAGCCUAGGUUUCUACUGGGCACGGAUCACUGAAUUUCAACUUGAUGAAAUUCAAAGGAGCAUACCCACUUGUCGCCAUCGCACUCAAAUCACCCCCUCAUUUCAAAGUGAGGAAUAUCGAUGAAGCGCUGGUAAAGGUGGUUUCUAUGGCUCUGUCCCGGAGAGCUGUCUGGGCAAGCAAAUGAUUGAAAGACGAUUAUUCUUUUCUGCUGCUGUUGCUUCUUCUGACACCCGGUCGAUGGUGCCGCUAGAUACUGCGAUGGGUAUUUGGUUCUCAAGUCUAUAAGUAUUGCGCUGGCACUUGAUGUCGAUUGGGUGUAAAAACCCAGUUAAAGUCCGCUGAAGGUUAGUAGCGGCAACUGAUGUCCAGUUUGUAAGACAGAAAAGCCUCUGACAAUACCAUUGGGCGUGACUCGAAUGGAUGUCAAUUUGAUGAUAUCUGACCGUAGCAUGCUACCCUUAGCAGUCGUACUCAAACCAUCUUCGUGGGUGGCUGUUACCCCCUCAUGUCAAAGUAAGGAAAUUCGAUGAAGCGGGGGUAAACGGCGGGACUUAAUUAAGUCUCUUGAGGUAGCCAAAUGCCUCGUCAUCUAAUUAAUGACGCACAUGAAUGAAGGAAAGUGAUUCCCACUGUCCCUACCUACUAUCUAGGGAAACCACAGCCCAGGGAACGGGCUUGACGGAAUCAGCGGGGAAAGAAAGACUGGGGCGGUUCACCUGUCAAACGGUCAGAAACUUCCCGUGGAGCAGAAGGGAAAAAGCUCGCUUGAUCUUGAUUUUCAGUAUGAAUACAGACCGUGAAGCAGGGCCUCACAAUCCUUCUGAAUUUUUGGCUUUUAAGCAGGAGGUGUUAGAAAAAUUACCAUAACGAUAACUGGCUUGUAGCGGCCAAGCGUUCAUAGCGACGUCGCUUUUUGAUCCUUCGCUGUCCGUUCUUCCUAUCACUGUGAAGCAGAAUUCACCAAGCGUUGGAUUGUUCACCCACUAAUAGGGAACGUGAGCUGGGUUUAGACCGUCGUGAGACCGGUUAGUUUUACCCUAUUGAUGAUUUGUUGUUGCAAUAGUAAUCCUGCUCAGUACGCGAGGAUAAGCAAGUUCAGACAUUUGGUGUAUUUGCUUGGUUGAGGAGCCAAUGGUGUGAAGCUAUCAUCUGUGGGAUUAUGACUGAACGCCUCUAAGUCAGAAUCCCCCUAAACAUAACGAUACCGUAGCGCUGCAGAUCUUCUGUUGGCCCAGGAUAGCCUGCAUCUUUUGGCAGGUGAGUAGAGCCGUUCGUGACAGGGUUGGGGUGCGGCCAGAUGGGUUGCCGCCCCUCUCCUGAUGCGCACCGUAUGUUUGUGGGGAACCUUGUGCUAAAUCACUCGUAGACGACCUGAUUCUGGGUCAUGGUUUCGUACGUAGCAGAGCAGCUCACUCGCUGCGAUCUAUUGAAAGUCAGCCCUCGAUCCAAGCUUUU